UUGGAUCACCUCCUAACAGGGAGACAACACAAUGAUUUUGAUGCCUGAGUAUUUUUAUUCUUAGGCCGAAAUCCUGUCACUUUAGGUCGAUCGGUACCUCAGCUUUGAAGUUAAGAAUCAGCAGCAAUGUUGAUUGCUUGAUGGAGAUUUUCAGUUCCUAAACUUUGUCUAGGUCACACCCCAAAAAGGGAUGAGACUCCUGGGCCAGUAGCUCAGGUGGUUAGAGCGCACCCCUGAUAAGGGUGAGGUCCCUGGUUCAAGUCCAGGAUGGCCCAUUCGGUGUUGGGGGUUUAGCUCAGUUGGUAGAGCGCCUGCUUUGCAAGCAGGAUGUCAGGAGUUCGAGUCUCCUAACCUCCACUGACCGAACUGUAUCCCCAUCUCCAAGAUGUUGGAGUUGAGCUCGAUUGGAGUGUGAUUUAGAUGUGUCCGCUGGAAGACCCCAGCUUCCUGUCAUUCCAAAGACAAGUAAAAAGUUUACUUGUUGACUUUGGUUGAUAAGAUGCUGGGCUCAAAUGAGUUGAUCAAGCAAUUGAUCAAUUGAUUUGAAGUUCUAGCAGAACCUUGACAACUGCAUAGGUAAGUCUGGAAAGAAUAAAGCAUCUCAUGGAUGAUGCGAUGACUCUAAACAAUGAUCUGAAAGGAUGAUUGAGAGGAGUGAUUGUGAAUUCUAUAGAGCAAGAGCCGAGACUCCAUCACGUUCUUUUGAUUGUGUCGAGCAAUCAAGAGUUUGAUUUUUGAUUCAGCAAUGAAUCAAGAAGAAUCUGUUUCAACGACAGCAAGCGUGUUGGAGAUUAUAUGGUCAAGCUACAAAGGGCUCACGGCGGAUACCUUGGCACACAGAGGCGAUGAAGGA
rnacentral:tRNA from 1 species